GAUGAAGAACGUAGUGAAAUGCGAUACGUAAUGUGAAUUGCAGAAUUCAGUGAAUCAUCGAAUCUUUGAACGCAUAUUGCGCUCUCUGGUAUUCCGGAGAGCAUGCUUGUUUGAGUAUCAGUAAACACCUCAACUUCCAUAUCUUUUUUGAAAUGGGAGUUGGACUUGAGUGAUCCCAACGCUUUUCCUCACCGAAAAGUGGCGGGUUACAUGAAAUGCAGGUGCAGCUGGACUUUUCUCUGAGCUAUAAGCAUAUCUAUUUAGUCUGCCUAAAAAACAGAUUAUUACCUUUGCUGCAGCUAACAUAAAGGAGAUUAGUUCUUGUGCUGACUGAUGCAGGAUUCACAAAGACAGGCUUCGGCCGACUUUGUAAACUCGAUCUCAAAUCAAGUAAGACUACCCGCUGAACUUAAGCAUAUCAAUAAGCGGAGGA
rnacentral:misc_RNA from 1 species